AAAGCCCGGGGCUCAACCUCGGAACCGCAUUUGAAACUGGCAGGCUAGAGUCUUGUAGAGGGGGGUAGAAUUUCAGGUGUAGCGGUGAAAUGCGUAGAGAUCUGAAGGAAUACCAGUGGCGAAGCCGGCCCCCUGGACAAAGACUGACGCUCAGAUGCGAAAGCGUGGGUAGCAAACAGGAUUAGAUACCCUGGUAGUCCACGCCGUAAACGCUGUCUACUUGGAGGUUGAGGUUUAGACUUUGGCUUUCGGCGCUAACGCAUUAAGUAGACCGCCUGGGGAGUACGGCCGCAAGGUUAAAACUCAAAUGAAUUGACGGGGGCCCGCACAAGCGGUGGAGCAUGUGGUUUAAUUCGAUGCAACGCGAAGAACCUUACCUACUCUUGACAUCCAGAGAACUUUCCAGAGAUGGAUUGGUGCCUUCGGGAACUCUGAGACAGGUGCUGCAUGGCUGUCGUCAGCUCGUGUUGUGAAAUGUUGGGUUAAGUCCCGCAACGAGCGCAACCCUUAUCCUUGUUUGCCAGCACAUAAUGGUGGGAACUCCAGGGAGACUGCCGGUGAUAAACCGGAGGAAGGUGGGGACGACGUCAAGUCAUCAUGGCCCUUACGAGUAGGGCUACACACGUGCUACAAUGGCAGAUACAGAGGGCAGCGAAGCUGCGAAGUGGAGCGAAUCCCUUAAAGUCUGUCGUAGUCCGGAUUGGAGUCUGCAACUCGACUCC
rnacentral:rRNA from 1 species